rnacentral:rRNA from 1 species
AGAGUUUGAUCCUGGCUCAGGAAGAACGCUAGCGGCAGGCCUUAUACAUGCAAGUCGAGGGGCAGCAUUUACUUCGGUAAAUGGCGACCGGCGCACGGGUGAGUAACGCGUAUGCAACCUACCUUUAACUGGGGCAUAGCUCGAGGAAACUCGAAUUAAUUCCCCAUAGUACAUUAUAAUAUCUCAUGAUAUAAAUGUUAAAGAUUUAUCGGUUAAAGAUGGGCAUGCGUCUGAUUAGUUUGUUGGUAAGGUAACGGCUUACCAAGGCUACGAUCAGUAGGGGGUCUGAGAGGAUGAUCCCCCACACUGGUACUGAGACACGGACCAGACAUCUACGGAUGGCAGCAGUAAGGAAUAUUGGGCAAUGGGCGCAAGCCUGACCCAGCCAUGCCGCGUGCAGGAUGACGACCCUAUGGGUUGUAAACUGCUUUUAUAUAGGAAGAAAAUACUCUUGCGAGAGGAUCUGACGGUACUAUAUGAAUAAGGACCGGCUAACUCCGUGCCAGCAGCCGCGGUAAUACGGAGGGUUCAAGCGUUUUCCGGAUUUAUUGGGUUUAAAGGGUGCGUAGGUGGUUUAUUAAGUCAGUGGUGAAAUCCUGCAGCUCAACUGUAGAACUGCCAUUGAUACUGGUAAACUUGAGUUUGGUUUAGGUAAGCGGAAUUUAUGAUGUAGCGGUGAAAUGCAUAGAUAUCAUAAGGAACACCAAUAGCGAAGGCAGCUUACUGGACCACAACUGACACUGAGGCACGAAAGCGUGGGUAGCGAACAGGAUUAGAUACCCUGGUAGUCCACGC